CUGCCAUUAAGUUGGUACUAAUCGCUGGGUUCGGCCGGUCUCUCGAAUGUGAGAGCAGCUGAGUUUGGUCAGAUUUCAUGGGGUAGUGCCCUCGAAACAUGAUUUGUCCCUGAAAAGCUGAUCUGUUCGAGUGUUUUGCAUUACACUUAUGUACCGUUGGGACUUAAUUGCCCACGGAACCCUUUGUUG
rnacentral:misc_RNA from 1 species